ensembl:lncRNA
CUACUCCUAAUGUAGUAACUCCGUAAUCUACUCCUAAUGUAGUAACUCCUAAUCUACUCCUAAUGUAGUAAUCUAUCUACUCCAAGUAGUAACUCACUAUCACUCCAUGUUCUACUCUCUAUGUAGUAACUCCAUCUACUCCUAAUGUAGUAACUCCUAUCUACUCCAAAGUAGUACUCCUAAUCUACUCCUAAUGUAGUACUCUGCUAUCCUGAUUCCUGAACAGGACAUGUUAGACCUUACACAUGAAAUAAAAUACAAAUUACAGUGGAGAUUAAACUAAUCUGUAUUUUAUAAAUUACAAAACCUUAUGUGGGAGAGGCAUCAUGCUUGAGAGAGAGAGAGGGGUCUGACCCAAUAUCCUCUGUAGUUUAGGAGCAGGAAGGAGUUUAUAAGACUUUCUGUCCCACCUUUAACGUUCUCCGUGGAACGUCCAAGGACAGAGAGCAGUCGGGACGUUCCACGUUAAAAGGACAGAGAUCAGUCGGGACGUUCCACGUUAAAAGGACAGAGAGCAGUCGGAACGUUCCACGUUAAAAGGACAGAGAUCAGUCGGGAACGUUCCACGUUAAAAGACAGAGAGCAGUCGGAACGUGCCACGUUAAAAGGAGAGAGAGCAGUCGGGAACGUUCCACGUCAAAAGGACGAGUAUCAGUCGGGAACAUCCCACGUUAAAGGACAGAGAUCAGUCGGGAACGUCCACGUUAAAAGGACAGACGGAACUGCCACGUAAAAAGGACAGAGAUCAGUCGGGAACGUCCACGUUAAAAGGACAGACGGAACGUUCCACGUUAAAAGGACAGAGAGCAGUCGGGAACGUUCCACGUUAAAAGGACAGAGAGCAGUCGGAACGUUCCACGUUAAAGGACAGGAGAGUCGGGAACGUUCCACGUAAAAGGACAGAGAGCAGUCGGGAACGUUCACGUUAAAAGGACAGACGGAACGUUCCACGUUAAAGGACAGAGAGCAGUCGGAACGUUCCACGUAAAAGGACAGAGAGCAGUCGGGAACGUUCCACGUUAAAAGGACAGACGGAACGUUCCACGUUAAAAGGACAGAGAGCAGUCGGGAACGUUCCACAUUAAAAGGACAGAGAGCAGUCGGGAACGUUCUACGUUAAAGGACAGAGAGCGGUCGGGAACGUUCCACGUUAAAAGGACAGAGAGCAGUCGGGAACGUCCACGUUAAAAGGACAGAGAGCAGUCGGGAACGUCCACGUUAAAAGGACAGAGAGCAGUCGGGAACGUUCCACGGUAAAAGCGUUCCACGUUACCUUUCCUUCCAGUUAGAAACAUAGGAGGGACACGUAGCAGAAACAGGAGGGACACGUAGCAAGAAACAGGAGGGACACGUAAGCAGAACAGAGGGACACGAGCAGAAACAGAGGGACACUAGCAGAAACAGGAGAGACACGUAGCAGAAACAGGAGGGACACGUAGCAGAAACAGGAGGGACACGUAGCAGAAACAGGAGGGACACGUAGCAGAAACAGGAGGGACACGUAGCAGAAACAGGAGGGACACGUAGCAGAAACAGGAGGGACACGAGCAGAACAGGAGGACACUAGAGAGACUAGGAGGGUCUGAACAAAAAGAACCCUACAUCAGAAGAAGACCUAUACGAUUAGAG